rnacentral:rRNA from 1 species
CAGCCGCCGCGGUAAUACGUAGGGUGCGAGCGUUAAUCGGAUUUACUGGGCGUAAAGCGUGCGCAGGCGGCCCGUUAAGACAGGUGUGAAAUCCCUGGGCUCAACCUAGGAAUUGCGCUUGUGACUGGCGGGCUCGAGUACGGUAGAGGGGGGUGGAAUUCCUGGUGUAGCAGUGAAAUGCGUAGAGAUCAGGAGGAACACCGAUGGCGAAGGCAGCCCCCUGGGCCUGUACUGACGCUCAUGCACGAAAGCGUGGGGAGCAAACAGGAUUAGAUACCCUGGUAGUCCACGCCCUAAACGAUGGGUACUAGCCGUUUGGUGCGCGAGAGCGCUGAGUGGCGAAGCUAACGCGAGAAGUACCCCGCCUGGGGAGUACGGCCGCAAGGUUGAAACUUAAAGGAAUUGGCGGG